AGAGAGUUCCAUGGAUUGUACUCUUCUUCAGAGUCUCACUGAUGCACAAUAAGUAAGGGCUCAGAGGCAUUCACAUCAGCAUUCAAGUUGUUAUUUUUGCUUAACUUUGCUAUUUGGGGUAUUUAUUGCCCCUGAGAUGCUGGCUUACAGAAUAGCUAAGAAUGUGUUCUUUAGUCAUGUUGCUGGGUUACAAUGUGCUUUCCGGUACUUUCUAAAUGUAUGACAUCAGGAAAAUUACUGCUCUCUGUCCUCAGUUUAUUUGUCAAAUGGGGUUGCAAAUAGUAAUCCCCUAGGUUACUUUAAAAACAAAAUAAGGAGUUCCUGUCAUGGGGCAGUGGAAAUGAAUCUGACUGGGAUCCAUGAGGAUGCAGGUUCGAUCCCUGGCCUCGCUCAGUGGGUUAGGGAUCUGGCGUUGCUGUGAGCUGUGGUAUAGGUCACAGACGUGGCUCAGAUCUGGUGUUGCUGUGACUGUGGUGUAGGCUGGUGGCUACAGCACCAAUUUGACCCCUAGCCUGGGAACCUUCAUAUGCCGUGGUUGUGGCCCCAAAAAAGGAAGAACCAAAACCAAAAAACAAAAUAAGAUUAGACUCAUGCAUGCAAAGCUCUCAGGAUAUUAGUGGCUAAUGAAUAUUACAUUAUUACUCAGAGACAUAGUGGGGGCAACAAUUGACUAAAUGUUAAUUAUCACAAGUAUUUUUUCCCAUCAGAUUCCUUCAUUAAAGACAUAACCUUCCUUUGUAGUGUUUUGGAAGGUUCUUAGUGAAUUUAGCUGAGGUUGUUCAUUGACUUGAACUGCAAGUGAGAUUCUGAGUUGUCCUGGUGUUGUUGUCCUGGUGUUGGUCAUUGUUUCUUUGGGGUUUGGUAGAGUGGGGGCAUGAGAAGUAAAUAAUGGUGACACCCCCCCCACACACACACCGUCACUAUGACCCAGCCUUUCAACAGAACAAAUAACUAAUCAAAUGACUUCUCUCAGAUUCACUGCAGCUACAGGUCAUGAACACCUCUGCCUACUACACCUACCUCCUCCUCCUCCUCAAGAGUUCCCUCUACUUCGCCAUCAUCAUCUGCUAUUUAGGAGAACAGUCUGCAGCAGUGGGAAGACCUCCUGAUAGAUGAUGCCACCAAGGGCUCAACUUCGCUUCAGCAUCAUUGUCUCUACAAGUGUCUGCUGAGGAUCUAGCUGGGCUUCCUUUCUGGGUUUGGCUUCUUUCAGAGAAUAUGUACAUCUUUGUAUUAUAUCAUUAUAGUGUAAGGAUUUUUCAAUCCAAUGGCCAAACAGAACACUGUACUGUUUAACAAGGAAUCCUGCCAUGACUCAGGGCAGGGCUGAGGGCUGGUCCACGAGAGCCUUUCCCACCACUGUCCCUCAGUGUCAGCAGCUCCUCCAGCCACUAAAUCUUUCACCUCCUGAGCACACACAGCACAGCACACGGUUCCUCGUCUCCUCCCUCAGGGCUUCCACCAGACCACGGCCCUGAGCUUCCCUGUACACACCGUGGAGCCCCAGCUUUGCUGCUUGAAUUCUGUCCUUUGAUUUUUCAUGAUAGGCACAAUCAAUUAAAAAGAUAUCCAACCUCCA
rnacentral:lncRNA from 1 species